rnacentral:piRNA from 1 species
UGACAAGAAGCAUCUUCAGAU